AUUGAACGCUGGCGGCAUGCUUUACACAUGCAAGUCGAACGGUAACAGGCCUUCGGGCGCUGACGAGUGGCGAACGGGUGAGUAAUGCAUCGGAACGUGCCCAGUCGUGGGGGAUAACUAUCCGAAAGGAUAGCUAAUACCGCAUACGAUCUGCGGAUGAAAGCGGGGGACCUUCGGGCCUCGCGCGAUUGGAGCGGCCGAUGUCAGACUAGGUAGUUGGCGGGGUAAAGGCCCACCAAGCCGACGGUCUGUAGCUGGUCUGAGAGGACGACCAGCCACACUGGGACUGAGACACGGCCCAGACUCCUACGGGAGGCAGCAGUGGGGAAUUUUGGACAAUGGGCGCAAGCCUGAUCCAGCAAUGCCGCGUGCAGGAAGAAGGCCUUCGGGUUGUAAACUGCUUUUGUACGGAGCGAAAAGGUCUUCUCUAAUAAAGAAGGCUGAUGACGGUACCGUAAGAAUAAGCACCGGCUAACUACGUGCCAGCCGCCGCUGUAAUAC
rnacentral:rRNA from 1 species